rnacentral:rRNA from 1 species
CGGCAGGCCUAACACAUGCAAGUCGAGCGCAGCGGCGGGGGCAACCCUGGCGGCGAGCGGCGGACGGGUGAGGAAUGCAUCGGAAUCUACCUCGUUGUGGGGGAUAACCUCGGGAAACCGGGACUAAUACCGCAUACGACCUACGGGUGAAAGUGGGGGGACCUUCGGGCCUCACGCGAUGAGAUGAGCCGAUGCCGGAUUAGCUAGUUGGCGGGGUAAAGGCCCACCAAGGCGACGAUCCGUAGCUGGUCUGAGAGGAUGAUCAGCCACACUGGAACUGAGACACGGUCCAGACUCCUACGGGAGGCAGCAGUGGGGAAUAUUGGACAAUGGGGGCAACCCUGAUCCAGCCAUGCCGCGUGUGUGAAGAAGGCCUUCGGGUUGUAAAGCACUUUUGUUGGGGAAGAAACCGGCCGGGUUAAUACCCUGGUUGAAUGACGGUACCCAAAGAAUAAGCACCGGCUAACUUCGUG